GUGAACCUUUACUAUAGCUUGACACUGAACAUUGAGCCUUGAUGUGUAGGAUAGGUGGGAGGCUUUGAAGUGUGGACGCCAGUCUGCAUGGAGCCAACCUUGAAAUACCACCCUUUAAUGUUUGAUGUUCUAACGUUGACCCGUAAUCCGGGUUGCGGACAGUGUCUGGUGGGUAGUUUGACUGGGGCGGUCUCCUCCUAAAGAGUAACGGAGGAGCACGAAGGUUGGCUAAUCCUGGUCGGACAUCAGGAGGUUAGUGCAAUGGCAUAAGCCAGCUUGACUGCGAGCGUGACGGCGCGAGCAGGUGCGAAAGCAGGUCAUAGUGAUCCGGUGGUUCUGAAUGGAAGGGCCAUCGCUCAACGGAUAAAAGGUACUCCGGGGAUAACAGGCUGAUACCGCCCAAGAGUUCAUAUCGACGGCGGUGUUUGGCACCUCGAUGUCGGCUCAUCACAUCCUGGGGCUGAAGUAGGUCCCAAGGGUAUGGCUGUUCGCCAUUUAAAGUGGUACGCGAGCUGGGUUUAGAACGUCGUGAGACAGUUCGGUCCCUA
rnacentral:rRNA from 1 species